AGAGUUUGAUCAUGGCUCAGGACGAACGCUGGCGGCGUGCCUAACACAUGCUAGUCGAACGGAGUAAGAAUUUCGGUUUUUACUUAGUGGCGAACGGGUGAGUAACGCGUGAACAACCUGCCUUCUUGAGGGGGAUAACACCUGGAAACAAGUGCUAAUACCGCAUAAGACCACAGAGCCGCAUGGCCCAGGGGUCAAAGGAGUGAUCCGCAGGAAGAGGGGUUCGCGUCCCAUUAGCUAGUUGGCGGGGCAACGGCCCACCAAGGCGACGAUGGGUAGCCGAGCUGAGAGGCUGAUCGGCCACACUGGAACUGAGACACGGUCCAGACUCCUACGGGAGGCAGCAGUGGGGAAUAUUGGGCAAUGGGCGAAAGCCUGACCCAGCAACGCCGCGUGAGGGAAGAAGGUCUUCGGGUUGUAAACCUCUGUCCUUGGUGAAAAGGAAGGAUGGUAGCCAAGGAGGAAGCUCCGGCUAACUACGUGCCAGCAGCCGCGGUAAUACGUAGGGAGCGAGCGUUGUCCGGAAUGAUUGGGCGUAAAGGGCGUGUAGGCGGCCAAUUAAGUCUGAAGUGAAAUCCCUGGUUUCAAGUCAGGGUCUGCUUUGGAAACUGGUUGGCUUGAGUGCAGGAGAGGCUAUCGGAAUUCCCGGUGUAGCGGUGAAAUGCGUAGAGAUCGGGAGGAACACCAGUGGCGAAGGCGGGUAGCUGGACUGUAACUGACGCUAAGGCGCGAAAGUGUGGGGAGCAAAACAGGAUUAGAUACCCUGGUAGUCCACACUGUAAACGAUGAAUGCUAGGUGUAGGGGGUAUCGACCCCUUCUGUGCCGCAGUAAACACAAUAAGCAUUCCGCCUGGGGAGUACGGCCGCAAGGUUGAAACUCAAAGGAAUUGACGGGGGCCCGCACAAGCAGCGGAGCAUGUGGUUUAAUUAGACGCAACGCGAAGAACCUUACCAGGUCUUGACAUCCAAUUAAAGCUGCAGAGAUGCAGUGUGAGCUUGCUCAAAUUGAGACAGGUGGUGCAUGGUUGUCGUCAGCUCGUGUCGUGAGAUGUUGGGUUAAGUCCCGCAACGAGCGCAACCCUUGUUUACAGUUACUAACGUGUUAUGAUGAGGACUCUGUAGAGACUGCCGGGGACAACUCGGAGGAAGGUGGGGACGACGUCAAAUCAUCAUGCCCCUUAUGACCUGGGCUACACACGUGCUACAAUGGCCGUCACAAGGAGGAGCGAGUGCGUAAGUACGAGCAGAUCUCAAAAAAGCGGUCUCAGUUCGGAUUGUGGGCUGCAACCCGCCCACAUGAAGUCGGAGUUGCUAGUAAUCGCGGAUCAGCAUGCCGCGGUGAAUACGUUCCCGGGCCUUGUACACACCGCCCGUCACACCAUGGGAGUUGAUAGCACCCGAAAGUUGUGAGGUAACCGCAAGGAGCCAGCAACCUAAGGUGAGAUGAAUGACUGGGGUGAAGUCGUAACAAGGUAGCCGUA
rnacentral:rRNA from 1 species